UUGGGACUUUCCCUCUCAGACAUUUAUUGGUUCAUUCAUUCGUUCAUUUUGCUGUAACUCACAGUGGCCCUCCCCAUCCUAAGGUGCACUGCUGGGAUUGGUCUAUGUGCUGAUGAUGUUCUCCUUGUCUUCAGAGGUGAGAAUGUGCCCUCCCUCCGAGAUGCCCUCUUGCCCCUGAGCUCCCCGCCUCCUGGGUUCAAGUGAUUCUUAUGCCUCAGCCUCCCGAGUAGCUGGGAUUACGGGAAUACGCCACCACGCCUGGCUAAUUUUAUAUUUUUAGUAGAGACAGGGUUUCUCCAUGUUGGUCAGCCUGGUCUCAAACUCCCGACCUUAGG
rnacentral:lncRNA from 1 species